GCGNNAUGCAGUCGAGCGGUACAGAAAGUAGCUUGCUACUUUGCUGACGAGCGGCGGACGGGUGAGUAAUGCUUGGGAACAUGCCUUGAGGUGGGGGACAACAGUUGGAAACGACUGCUAAUACCGCAUAAUGUCUACGGACCAAAGGGGGCUUCGGCUCUCGCCUUUAGAUUGGCCCAAGUGGGAUUAGCUAGUUGGUGAGGUAAUGGCUCACCAAGGCGACGAUCCCUAGCUGGUUUGAGAGGAUGAUCAGCCACACUGGGACUGAGACACGGCCCAGACUCCUACNGGAGGCAGCNUUGGGGAAUAUUGCACAAUGGGCGCAAGCCUGAUGCAGCCAUGCCGCGUGUGUGAAGAANGCCUUCCG
rnacentral:rRNA from 1 species